GCCUCGACCGGAGUCACAUCUCAUACAACUCUUGUCCUGGUGUGCUAGAGUACUCGGAGAGAAUCUGCUAGUCUUGAUUCACUGGCGGGAGUGAUCUGUGCUCCCAUUAAUGCCCAGAUCACAUGA
rnacentral:snoRNA from 1 species